AAUUAAUUAAGUUUAACGCGACCAAAGGCCCGAAUAAAUAGGAUUUCCAAAUCAUUUUAGCACAAUGAUGGGUAGGGUGGUAUAAAAUUACUCUCUUAUUAUGGGUGUUUCUCAUUGAUGCAAUGUUGCAUCUUUAGAACAUAUUCUAGACUAUCUAGGAUCACAUCAUAGGGAAUGCUAGUACCAUUCCCAGAGAGUGGUUCACCAACAGUCAGUAACAGUCAUAUUCGAUCACUCCUCAGUGAUAACAGUCAAAUAGAUUUUAGUCUUUCCACGUUUCUUAUCAGUUCAAAAUCAUAAUUAAUUUUACGGUGAAAACCGGUGGGUGUUCAUUAACCAAUCUCGACUCAACAAGGGCCCACAUUCCUAUAUUGGACCAUCAAGUUACCUUCUUAGGUAAAAACUAAAUUCGGUAACCCUCUGGGCCAUUACCUAAAGGCGAAGUUGA
rnacentral:lncRNA from 1 species